CGACCCAGGCAGCACGUCACCAGCUCUGUGCCUCGUCACUGCAGGCGCUGAGUGCCGCCGAGGAGGUGGUCUUGUUUCGUUCAUGUAAUACCUGCUCUUCACUCAACGUCAGAGGCCAGUCCGGGUUCUUUUGUGUCUGGGCAGUGUAGUGGGAGCACCUGACUGAUCCCUGCAGUUACUCUGUGGCUGAAGUAAACGAUGACACAGUGAGAAACACUCUGACCCAGCCCAGCCCGGCUCACAGUUCUAGCGCAUUCUGUCUCGCCUCUGAAACCAGGCAUCACUAACCAACUUCUCCCUGUGCCUGGCAUUUAUGACACACUGCCCUACAGUCUGAGUAGCCUGUUUAAUAGUCCAUAUCUUAUCUCCCCAACUGUGGAAUGUAGCACAUGUUGAUCAUAUCUUAGUAAUCACUUUUAUCCUCCCCAACAUUCAGCAUAAUAUCUGGACCACUGGCCUGUUUGGGUCAGCUCCCCACGUUUGAGAAUGGAGACCUCACCCUUUACCAAUCUGAUGGCAUCUUUCGGGCUUUGCAAGAAAGACCAAGGGAGGCCGCCCUGGUGGAUAGAGGGAAUAAUGGGGUGUGGAGGACCUCCCCUGCAAAUAUGUCCCCUCCUCUCCAGCACGGAUGAGAAUGAUCCACGGAGUCCUGGCCCCUGGCUGCCUGCACAGCUUCCCCCUGCUCUCUGCCUGUGCAGCCCAAGAUCAAGGCCUUUCUGUCCUCCCCCGACCAUGUGACCCAUCCCAUCAAUGGUGACGCAAACCAUAGUGGACGGAAGAGACUGGGGGGGAGGGGGGCUGCUUGUCCUCCUUUCCCCAUGACUAAUAAAGUU